UACAAAAAACAGCAAAGGAACAUCAUAUACUGUCUUUUAGUGGGUGUUACCAAUAAUGGUGUUAUCAGUAUAUUUAUUUUAUCCACUAUUUAGAUAAGGUCACCGAUUUUGAUAGCUGCUAACAAAAAUGUAUAAUGGUCAGGCUACAUUUGAUUUUUCAAAAUGGCGCCGUUAAAAAUAUGCCGAAUUAGAUUCUGGAGCGUCUUUUUUCUCUGAUUUCUUGGCGGAUUUAUGGACAUUAACUGGUCGUGAACAUCGGAGAUGAUAACAUCGCUGGGAAGUGUGAGUCGCAUUGAAUUUAAACAAAUGUAACACUAAUGUAGAAGUCACCGACGGGGGUUGGUUGAACAAUGAACAUACACCGACGGUUGGACCGGGUAAAGGACAGAAGAUGGCGCCAACUUCGUCCUCUGUGUUUUACAUUAAUGGCGGACAUGGAGAAGAAGCAGCAGUAAGAAGCAGCAGCGCUAUUUCACGUCAAGAUUAAAGGUAAGAAGUUGAAAUCAGCAUGUUUUUAAAAGUUUUCUUGAUGGUAAUCACAUUCGAGUCAGCAAUAUAUAUUAUAGCCAUCUGUUCUUCUGCAUUUUGUCUAAUUUUGCCCGAGAUAAUUCAUAAAUUAAACAAGUUAAUGUACAAAAAUCAAUAUCAAUAAUGACAGCUAACGCUAAUAAUAUUAUUCAUGAUCAGUUAAUCUUCUGAUUACUUUACCUAUUCAUAGUUUUGACGACAAAAUGUCAGAAAAUAGUGCAAGAUGCUAAUUAUAUUUGCUAAAAUUCCAAGUUCAAGUUCCUCGUUUUAUCAACGGUCCAAGAUCCAAAGAUUAUUAGCUACUAUUAGACAAUGAAAAACAGCAAAUCCUCAGAUUGGAGAAGCUGAAAUCAAAGAAUGUUUGGCAUUUUUGCUUCAAUCAAAUAAUUGACGAUUCAUUUUCUGUUGAUCAGCUAAUUGGUUAAUAAGAGAAUUAGCUUGGCUCUAGUAAUGUUAUUCUUGAAGUUAACAUGAUUAGCUAGCAGACAGUUAGCUAGCAGACAGUUAGCCAGUUACCCAACAGCUAGGGCUGCAACUAAUGACUAUUUUCAUUAUUGCUGUCUAUUAUUUAGCCUUCUCGAUUAAUCAAUUAGUUGUUAAAUGUCAGAAAAUUGUGGAAAAUGUCAAUCAUUGUUCCCCAAAUGUUAAGUAUCUUGUUUUGUCCACAACCCAAAGAUAUUCAGUUUACUGUCAUAGAGGACUAAAGAAACCAGAAAAUAUUCAUAUUUGAGAAGCUGUAAACAGAGAACAUGGACGUUUUUUUCUUAAUUGAUUUUCAAAAUAGAUGUUGAUUAAUUUAGGCCUAAUAGUUGAAAAAUAAUUGAUUAAUCAACUAAAGUGUUAUGAAAUAACUUGAAAUUGAAUUAGGCCUAUUAAAAAAUCAUGUGUAUCACAAUGUUUUAGCAAUUGGUAUCAGCAGCAUAUGCAGCAAAGCUAGUUUUUUGCUAAUUGUGCCUAGCUAGGUAGUUAGCUAGCUUGCUAGUCAGCUAACAUCUAGCUAGGUAGAAGCUACAACUAACCUAACUAGCUUUCUUAACUAAACUGCAGUUAUGAAUAUGGUUAAAAUGGAGUUUAUUUUGAUAAAUAUGAGCUCUUCCUUGAGUAAGAGAUUUUAUAGCCUAGGUCUAAAUUUUAUUUUUAAAAAUGUUCUCCCUGUUUUUGGUAGUACUUGUUUGUGUCUGUAAUUUAACAUUUUUGGCUGUACAAAAUGAGUUAUUAAAUAACUUUUGAAAUGUUAUUAUUGGUGGUCAUGUGUACACCUCAAAGUUUUGCAGAUGAAAUUAAAGAAUUCAUUAGGCCAUCAGUGUCCCUUGCCACUGCCAGCCCAAAGAUAAAAAUGGAUGGACUUCAGAUGAAAAGGUAGGAUUGAAAAGGCACGUUGAUGUACUCCAGUUUGUGGUGAUAUUUUCAUAGCGGACGUCUACCAAAACCAGCCACGGUUAUGUUCCAUUUACGUUUUUUCUACCACAUGGACAUCACAGAGAUAAUUACAAGACUGUUUUCCUACAUGGAACUAUACUGUAUAAGGUAAGUAUGUUAAACUUUAACACAAAUAGCUCUGAUUAUUUAAAACUAGUAAACAGCAGCUUAUAGCUACUAACAGUAACAGUGCACCUCACUUUCCAGUUUUCUUGCGAUAUUGCACAUUUUAGGCCUAAAUAUUAUUAGCUGAUGUUGAUUUAUGAUUAGUGACCACCUCUGGGGAACUGUGGCAUACAUGUUUGUGUUGGUAGCACUUAUUUCAGGUGAAGAUGCACAUUUCCAGAUAUCAAGUAGAGACCAACAUAAUGUUAACUUAAAAAGUACAGUUAAAUCUUUUCUUUGUGCAGGUGACAAAGGUACCCAAUGUAUGGGACUUCACCUGUGGCUGGCCAUAAUUCUUGUUAGUGUUGGGAGUAAUGUGACAUAGAGUAUAUAUUUUUUAUUUAAUUGGAAUAAGGUACUCUAAUAAAGAAAAAACAACAUCCAGGCCCUUAGAGUCAACCAAACAGAAGAGGCAGGAAUCUGAGACACAUGUCUAAAAACCUGGACAAAUAAAACCAAAGCUAGUAUAUCUGCACAUUGGUAAAUAAUAAAAUGAUCAUUUUGUGAUUUGUGUGAACCAACUCUAUAAACGUAGCAGUCUUUUGUGAUGUAAGAUUCAAUUGUUUUUGCUUUCACAUUCAGUAGGGGAACCGAAACAUUCAGGCUGUUUUGUCAGUGUUGAUCCAUCUCCCUGAAGCACAUGCAAAUAUGGUGGAAUUGAAGAGGCUGAACAGAAGGACAAAAGCUCCGGAAAAAGCUAGUAGGACGCUCUCUCCCCCUCUCACCGCGCUGUCUACCUCUCCACAUCUGCCGGCAGCCAAUGGGAUUACACAGCUGCUGCUACUGUACGCCGCACAGUAGCUACUGCACACCGACAGGAAGUAUUAGUGUACCAGAGAAGAUCACAGAGCCAAAAACAUCCCUUGUUGGAGUCUUUGAAGUCGCGUGUGUUCAUAUACGCAGUAAUUAGGCCACACUGGUUUGUUAAUGAGUGGUGUUGUGUGACAGUCACUAUGUUGGUAAUGGGUAAUUUUGCAUAAGGUGACUUGACAAAGUUAACUCCGUAGCGAUUAGCAUAACGUCACUGUUUGCUACAUUGUUGCUGUGUUGUUUGUUAUCAAGCACAGUUAUAUUGUUCAGACUACAGACUACUGUGACUGUAAUCAUUCGUGUGAUACUGUCGCCAUAUUCAGUUAUUGUUCUUAUUAUUACUAUUAUGUUUAUUAUCCAAGUUACGUAGCAGACAGGUGAAGGUGUAAUUCAUUCAGCUGAGGUGUAGCUUAUAUGUGAUGCCUAGCCCUAGGAUGAUGAAGGAACAUAAUUGUACACAAUGCAAACGUCACUAUUUAAGUCCAGCAGAGGGCCCUGUUGACUCUGAAAUGUUAAGUGUCCAUGCUCUAAUACAGUGUGGAGGUGGAUUUAUUAUGUUUAUUAGUAUUUGAUCAUUUGUAUUUGUUGCUAUAUGUACAUCAUGGUACUAGAUGAUUAUUCUUAUUUAUCCUUUGUCAGAACCACAUGUAAACUUCAACCAAAGAUAUGUGCUGAUGGUAGCAAAGCCAAAUAAACGUUCUGAACUUCAGUGGCAUCCGCCUGUGUUUCUGAUCGGACACCUUGCAGUGGGACAGCAAGUUGAACCACUUUGAGAGAGAGAAGCGGGGCAUUCUUAUUAAGCCACAGAACAGAACUUCUUGUUGGAUCAUUGAAAAGCUUCAGAAACCUCCUGCCCUCCCACACCUUUCCAACAUCAGACUUGGAGGUGCUGUGUCAGAUCAUUCCUGUAACUUUUCU